UCCCAGCCCUUCCCUUUGUGCUUGGAGGCUCUUUUCAAACCUGGAAUGCUGCUGGAGGUGCCAGCAGCUGCAAGCAGAGCACCAGGAUGUGAGCAGUGACUGGACCCAAGGCUUUCCUGCACCCAGAAGAGUGCCUGAGCUUGGGGACAGCCUCAAGGCUCCCGGUGGGAAGUUUCUGCCAGCUUUGCAGAGGGCUCUCUUGUGCCUAUGUCAGAAACUGGGUGGAGGUGUGAAGACUCCUCUCGGGCCAUCGAUUUUUCCAUCCCUCAGCCAAGCGCUGCAGGAAAAUGAGAGCAUCUCCGGGAUCGAUCAGCACCGCGCUGCAGCCUGGGGGCAGGAAGGGUUUGAAUCGCCUGCUCCCCUGGCAGGGAGCCACACCUGGGCAGUGCUGCACACCCAGAGACCACCCCACGCUGCCCGGAGGUGCCCGUGGAAAUGCCAGAACUUGCCAUCUGCUGCCAUGCUGGCCCCCGAGGUCCCACCACUCGCUCUCCUCCCCCAGAGAGCUGGCAAAUAGCUGAGUGAGCUUCUCAAUGCACCCUGGAGUAGCU